rnacentral:siRNA from 1 species
GUUAUCUGGUUGCUUGGGUUGCCA